rnacentral:misc_RNA from 1 species
GAUGAAGAACGUAGCGAAAUGCGAUAAGUAAUGCGAAUUGCAGAAUUCAGUGAGUCAUCGAAUCUUUGAACGCACAUUGCGCCCUGUGGUAUUCCGCAGGGCAUGCCUGUUCGAGCGUCAUUUCAGCCCUCAAGCCUCGCUUGGUGUUGGGCCCUGCCCGCCGCGGCCGGCCCUAAAGAUAGUGGCGGCGCCGCCUGGCCCUCAGCGUAGUACAGCUCUCGCUCCAGGGUCCGGCGGCAGCCUGCCAGAACCCCCCAACUCUGUGGUUGACCUCGGAUCAGGUAGGGAUACCCGCUGAACUUAAGCAUAUCAAUAAGCGGAGGA